rnacentral:misc_RNA from 1 species
GGAAGGAUCAUUAUGCAUACUAGUGCAAACUUUUCAAGUCUCGAGUGUGUGGGUGGGGGGGAGGAGGAGAGUAUUGAGUAGUAGUAUCCAGUACUAUUUAUUCAGUAUUCAGUAGUAUAGUAUUAUUGAGUAGUAGUAUCCAGUACUAUCUAUUCAGUAUUCAGUAUUAUUUCAGUAUUAUUCAUUCCAUCCAUGCCAAGACUUGAAAAGCUUGUACAACAACACACAUGUGCCCUCCAGCUGUAUUUGGCUGGGUGCAACACAUAAACAGUGUAUAAUAGUAUAUAAUCAUCAUUAUAACUAUCAUUAUCAUAUCAUUGAAAAGUCAAUACAACCAAAAACUCUUAACAAUGGAUCUCUUGGCUCCUGCAUCGAUGAAGAACGCAGCAAAGUGCGAAAAGUAAUGCGACACGCAGCAGCUGUGAGACAUCAAGUAUUUGAACGCAAAUGGCAUUAAUAUUGAGAGAUAUUAAUAUGAGCGGUAGAGGGUUGUGGAUAUUAUCACUGCAUGUUUGCAGUGGACCUGUCCCAGGUGAUGGGAUGAAAUAGAUGGGGGGAUGUGGGGAUGCAAGAUCCUUUCCCUAAAGACAAGGAGACACUCUUUUGUUUAGGGCCAGGAUCAGGGUUAGGAGAGGGCUAGGGGGGAAGGGAAGGGAGGGGAUGGCAUGCAUGUAGAUGUAGUAACUGUAGUAUCUGUAGUAACUAUAGCAUCCUGCUGUCACUGUCACUGUCUGUCACUAUCCCCACACUCACGCCCACCCAACACAACCCAACAUAUCCCCCUCACAAUGGAUAGAGUUGAAAAACCCCUAUAACCACUCAGAAUCAACCUCUGCUGCUCAGGACUACCCGCUGAACUUAAGCAUAUCAGUAAGCGGAGGAAAAGAAACUAACAAGGAUUCCCCCAGUAACGGCGAGUGAAGCGGGACCAGCUCAAAUUUGGAAUCAGCCUAUAUGGCUGAAUUGUAGUCUAGAGUGGGGGGUGAUGAUUCAAAGGUUCAACAAUUCAAGUGUCUUGGAAUGGACCACCAGAGAGGGUGACAGUCCCGUUGGAGAUUUGAACCUUGAAUAACCCUCCACAAAGAGUCGGGUUGCUUGGAAUGCAGCUCAAAAGGGGUGGUAAACUCCAUCCAAGGCUAAAUAGCGGCAGGAGACCGAUAGCGGACAAGUACCGUGAGGGAAAGAUGAAAAGCACCUUGAAAAGGGAGUGAAACAGCGCGUGAAAUUGUUAAAAGGGAACGAAUGGUGGUGGGGGGUUGUGAUUGUGGUAGGUGGGGGAGUGGUGUUGGUGUGAGGAGGGGAUUCAUAUUCGCCCAUGCAAUGUCAGUUGUCUCCCUGUCAACCAACACAACGUCGGGGGUGCUUGGGGGCAGUGUUGAAGCAUGUGGGGAUUGUUGGGGUAGCAUUAUUGUGCUAGUCCAUUCCACAGACAUGCACUGCCUUUGAGUGGCAUGUGGGAGGGGGUGAGGGUGAUGAUUUGUGGAGGUUGAGCAUGUGACUGCUUGCAGAUGCAUGCCUGCACACCCACAAACACCACCCACCCACCCUCAACCAGACUCGAAAUCACACCACCAUACGACCCGUCUUGAAACACGGACCAAGGAGUCUAACAUGCGUGCGAGUGUUUGGGUGGCAAGCCCGAGCGCGCAAUGAAAGUGGAGAGUGGGAACGAGGGAGGGUAUGUAUGUAGUAGCAUACUAUGCGAUAGUAUAGUAAGUAUAUUACAUCAACCCCCCACUCGUGCACCAUGAGCUUGUGGGGGACAAGCCCCCACACGCUACAGCACACACGUUGGGACCCGAAAGAUGGUGAACUAUGCCUGGACAGGAUGAAGCCAGAGGAAACCCUGGUGGAGGUCCGCCGCCGUUUCUGACGUGCAAAUCGAUGGCCGGAUCUGGGCAUAGGGGCGAAAGACUAAUCGAACCAUCUAGUAGCUGGUUCCCUC